AUGUCGGUGGUCGGGACAAGGAUGGGCCCCUUCUCUUGGGGCCCUGGGCACGCGAGAGUGCGGGCGACGGAUCUUCGAAGAAUCUUCGAGAAA
rnacentral:tRNA from 1 species